rnacentral:rRNA from 1 species
UCAGAACGAACGCUGGCGGCGUGCUUAAUACAUGCAAGUUGUGCGAGAAAGUAUCCUUCGGGAUGCGAGUACAGCGGCGAACGGGUGAGUAACACGUAAGCAACCUGCCCCUAAAUCCGGGAUAACCCUGCCAACGCGGGGCUAAUACCGGAUGUGGUUGAAAGGUCGCAUGAUUUUUCAAUUAAAGGUGACCUCUUCUUGAAAGUUACUGUUUAGGGAUGGGCUUGCGGACCAUUAGCUUGUUGGUGAGGUAACGGCUCACCAAGGCUGCGAUGGUUAGCCGACCUGAGAGGGUGAUCGGCCACAUUGGGACUGAGAUACGGCCCAGACUCCUACGGGAGGCAGCAGUAGGGAAUUUUGCGCAAUGGACGAAAGUCUGACGCAGCAACGCCGCGUGAGGGAUGAAGGCCUUCGGGUUGUAAACCUCUGUUGAGUGAGAAGAAAAGCAUGCGGGAUAAUACUCCGCGUGUCUGACGGUAUCACUCGAGGAAGCCCCGGCUAACUACGUGCCAGCAGCCGCGGUAAUACGUAGGGGGCAAGCGUUGUUCGGAAUUACUGGGUGUAAAGGGAGCGUAGGUGGAAAGGUAAGUUAGGAGUGAAAGAUACGGGCUUAACCCGUAGUCCGCUUUUAAUACUGUCUUUCUUGAGUAUGGGAGAGGAUGACGGAAUUCCUGGUGUAGCGGUGGAAUGCGUAGAUAUCAGGAAGAACACCGGUUGCGAAGGCGGUCAUCUGGCCCAAUACUGACGCUGAGGCUCGAAAGCUGGGGGAGCGAACAGGAUUAGAUACCCUGGUAGUCCCAGCCGUAAACGAUGGACACUAGAUGCUGGAAGAGUCAAUCCUUUCAGUGUCGUAGCUAACGCGUUAAGUGUCCCGCCUGGGGAGUACGCUCGCAAGGGUGAAACUCAAAGGAAUUGACGGGGGCCCGCACAAGCGGUGGAGCAUGUGCUUUAAUUCGAUGCAACGCGAAGAACCUUACCUGGGUUUGACAUGGGGGUGAACGUUCCCAGAGAUGGGAGCCUUUCCUUCGGGAACACCCCACACAGGUGCUGCAUGGUUGUCGUCAGCUCGUGUCGUGAGAUGUUGGGUUAAGUCCCGCAACGAGCGCAACCCCUGUCCUUAGUUGCCAGCGGAUAAUGCCGGGAACUCUAAGGAGACUGCCUGGUAUAACCAGGAGGAAGGUGGGGAUGACGUCAAAUCAUCAUGGCCCUUACGUCCAGGGCAAGACACGUGCUACAAUGGCCGGUACAACGGGAUGCGAACUCGCGAGAGCAAGCCAAUCCCUUAAAACCGGUCUUAGUUCGGAUUGGAGUCUGCAACUCGACUCCAUGAAGCUGGAAUCGCUAGUAAUCGCGGAUCAGCAUGCCGCGGUGAUACGUUCCCGGGCAUUGUACACACCGCCCGUCAAGCCAUGAAAGACGGCAGUGCCCGAAGUCGCUCCUCUAACCCGCAAGGGAAGAGUGCGCCGAAGUAAGGCCGUUGAUUGGGGCUAAGUC